GUGGGGAAUUUUGGACAAUGGGCGCAAGCCUGAUCCAGCCAUUCCGCGUGAGUGAAGAAGGCCUUCGGGUUGUAAAGCUCUUUCGGCAGGGAAGAAAACGCUAAGGGUAAUAUCCUUGGCGGAUGACGGUACCUGAAGAAGAAGCACCGGCUAACUACGUGCCAGCAGCCGCGGUAAUACGUAGGGUGCGAGCGUUAAUCGGAAUUACUGGGCGUAAAGCGUGCGCAGGCGGUUUUUUAAGCCAGAUGUGAAAGCCCCGGGCUCAACCUGGGAACUGCGUUUGGAACUGAAAGACUAGAGUGUGUCAGAGGGAGGUGGAAUUCCACGUGUAGCAGUGAAAUGCGUAGAUAUGUGGAGGAACACCGAUGGCGAAGGCAGCCUCCUGGGAUAACACUGACGCUCAUGCACGAAAGCGUGGGGAGCAAACAGGAUUAGAUACCCCGGUAGUCC
rnacentral:rRNA from 1 species